CGCGGGGUGGAGCAGUUUGGUAGCUCGUCGGGCUCAUAACCCGAAGGUCGGCGGUUCAAAUCCGUCCCCCGCAACCA
rnacentral:tRNA from 1 species